AGGCUGCAUUCCGGCUUAGAGGGAAAGAGUGCUGUGAUCAGUUAGUCAGGUCUGCCAUGAGUCCAGAAAGGGAAGCAAAGCCCAUGCAUUUGCCUUCACGCUGAAGAACCGGAAGGACUACAGACCAAGACCCUUUGACUGUGGCUAGCCUGCUGCUUGACUUGGGAGUGAUGCUGAAAACUGCCUGGUAGUGCUCCUGCUGGGGCGGAUGGAGAGGAAGGCAGUGGAAGAGGAGGAACCCUGUGGACGGAGCCCCCACUUUUGCCUGGAGUGAGGCUGGGAAGUCUAUACGUGUAGCGACUUCGCUCUUUCUCGUGUUGGCAUACGUUCCCUUGUGCACGUGUCUGCAUGCCGGGUUCCAGGCCCCAGUGGAUGGGCAUAGAGGCUGCGUCUGGUCUUGCCCUCUCAGGGCUGCAGAGAACGGGCUGGCCUUCCAUAGCAGGUGGCAUUGUUAGCAUCAGAUGGGCUGCUGCAUGGGGGAGGCUCCCCUCACCCCGCCACUUCCAUAGGGACAGGCUGAUGGGGGCCCUGCUAAGACCAGAGCUGGGUGGAGAAAGUAGCCUCAGGGGAACUGGGUGCCAGGGUCCUAGAGUCCCGGUCCCCAUCCCUGAAGGGGAAGGAAACCCCUCCCCCAGCCACCUGGGGGCCCCAGGAUGUGGAGACCUUGGGGACAGGACCCAUUCUGGGCUGUCCUGGUCUUGUUCCUCCCUGACUCCCUUCCCUGAGGAGGUGGCGUGAUCUGUGUCCCACAGAGAGAGGAGGUAGGUACCCAGCUCCCUCUCCUCCUUCCACACCUUCCGUGGUCCCCAGUCCCCACCUCCCUCUCCCCUCCACACUGUCUCCCUGUACCAGCGGGAGACCCCAAAACAGCCUCCACAGAUGGAACCUAGGUCAGCCGGAAGGGGCUAUGCCUGCAAGCAAGGUGGGGCGUUUGUUCUUGAAGGUGACAUUCAGCUUGGCUUCUGGAGACACCCUGAUCCGUGUUCAGUGACAGCCCAUUGAUUCUAAGUUCCAAAUCCUCUAGCCUCAGCUUCCCGAUUGUUAAAACGGGGGGACGGACAGCACCUACUUCACGGGGUGGUUGUGGGGACUCACUGAGGGAGUCCGCGCAAAGCCUUCGGUCAGUUUCCUGACAAGGUCCCCAUGCAGGCUCAUCAUCCUCGCUGUGAGUUUUAUUAUUCUUCCUAGCAAGGCUGUUUUCAAAAACCUGAAGUUAAAAAAAAGACCUCCUCUGAGUUGGGUGUCAAAACCAAGAAAAAGUUCGUGGCGGCAUGUGUCUGUGUUUGGUAUGUGAUGUAUAGUGUGUGUGUGGGGGUGUUAUGCACAAUAUGUGUGUGGUGUGUGUGUGGGGGGAGUGUGUGUUAUGUACAUGAAGGGGCGUGAAUGCAGUAUGUGUGCACUUCAGGUGUGUGCAGCGUAUGUGAGUGUGGUGUGCGUGGUGUGUGUGCAUGUGUGUCCUAGGUGUGUCAGGCUGUCCUCAUAUCAUCUUUUGGGUCCUCUGCCCCCUGCCCCCUCUCUCUCAUUAUCUUGGGCCCCUGGACUAUGGCCCUCUCCGCAAGAAUCACGGUCACACCGUCAUCUUCCCUGUCACUGAAGGACAGGCCUGUUGACCCGGUGGCCUGGGACGGCCCAAGGACAACUCUGGGAAGCAGAAGAGGCCCUGUUCCCUAACCACUUCCCCGUGGGCCCCACCGCCACAGCCUCCUGGAAUGCGGGGCCGCGUGGGCCUCACGUCGAGCCUCACUGCCGCCUUCCCGUGUGGGUUUGGGUCUUGGGUACAUCACCACCGGCUGUGGGAAGUUGCUUUCACCUCUCUGGGCCUCAGUUUCCCCAUCUGUAAAACCAGGAUAAUAGUAAUAAGGUCCUAAGGUUGCUUAAGCUCCUCCUUGGCUCCCAACAA